UCCAUUCUUAACUAGAUGACUAUGUUUCUC
rnacentral:piRNA from 1 species